rnacentral:rRNA from 1 species
AGCAGCCGCGGUAAUUCCAGCUCCAAUAGCGUAUAUUAAAGUUGCUGCAGUUAAAAAGCUCGUAGUUGAAUUUCGGGAUCAAUAUGUUGGUCGUGCCUCGGUACGUACUAGCUUAUUGGUUUCUUCCUUCUGACGAACCAUAAUGUCAUUUAUUUGGUGUUAUGGGGAAUCAGGACUGUUACUUUGAAAAAAUUAGAGUGUUUAAAGCAGGCUCACGCUUGAAUACAUUAGCAUGGAAUAAUGAAAUAGGACGUUUGAUUCUAUUUUGUUGGUUUCUAGGAUCGACGUAAUGAUUAAUAGGGAUAGUUGGGGGCAUUAGUAUUCAAUUGUCAGAGGUGAAAUUCUUGGAUUUAUUGAAGACUAACUACUGCGAAAGCAUUUGCCAAGGAUGUUUUCAUUAAUCAAGAACGAAAGUUAGGGGAUCGAAGACGAUCAGAUACCGUCGUAGUCUUAACCAUAAACUAUGCCGACUAGGGAUCGAAUGAUGUUAAUUUUUUAAUGACUCAUUCGGCGCCUUACG